rnacentral:rRNA from 1 species
GACGAACGCUGGCGGCGUGCUUAACACAUGCAAGUCGAACGAAGUGGCGAACGGGUGAGUAACGCGUAAUCAACCUGCCCUUCAGAGGGGGACAACAGUUGGAAACGACUGCUAAUACCGCAUACUGAAGGAGGGGAUUGCGUCUGAUUAGCUAGUUGGAGGGGGAACGGCCCACCAAGGCGGUGAUCAGUAGCCGGGCUGAGAGGAUGGACGGCGACAUUGGGACUGGAGCACGGCCCAAACUCCUACGGGAGGGCGCAGUGGGGGAUCUUCCGCAAUGGACGAAAGUCCUACGGAGCAACGCCGCGUGGGUGAUGACGGCCUUCGGGUUGUAAAGCUCUGUUAAUCGGGACGCGGUACCGGAAUAGAAAGCCACGGCUAACUACGUGCCAGCAGCCGCGGUAAUAC